rnacentral:rRNA from 1 species
UACGUAGGGGGCAAGCGUUGUCCGGAUUUAUUGGGCGUAAAGAGCGUGUAGGCGGUUUGGUAGGUCCGCUGUGAAAACUCGAGGCUCAACCUCGAGACGCCGGUGGAAACCAUCAGGCUAGAGUCCGGAAGAGGAGAGUGGAAUUCCUGGUGUAGCGGUGAAAUGCGCAGAUAUCAGGAAGAACACCCGCGGCGAAGGCGGCUCUCUGGGACGGUACUGACGCUGAGACGCGAAAGCGUGGGGAGCGAACAGG